UUGAUCAAGAAGGAGAGUGUCUAGAGUGAUGGAUGUUGUAUUUUCCCAAGGAAAGCAUAUGUGGGACAAUGAGAGUAUUGGUUUGCAAGUAUAUGAGCACCAAUUCCCCUUGCUCCUUGUUCCUCUUUGAUGGAGAUAUGUUACCUGGUCCCUAGAGCUAGCCUGACAGCCAGAAAUAAAAAUCUCUGAAGGCCCCUUCUUAGUGAGCUUUGCAAAAAUAAUCUUUAGUCAAAGGUAGUAUCAGAGGUCCCAUGGACCCAGAGUCAGUCCUCUCCCUCUUUUCUCUCUACCCUACUCCCAGUACUCAGAAGUGAGGAAUUGAUCAGGUAGAAGAGACUGAGUGUAUCCUGGCCAGUAGUUAUAGAGGUGGUUCUGAUCUGA